UACGAAGGGGGCUAGCGUUGUUCGGAAUUACUGGGUGUAAAGGGUUCGUAGGCGGUGCGGCAAGUUGGGAGUGAAAUCUCUGGGCUUAACCCAGAGGCUGCUUCCAAAACUGCUGUGCUUGAGUGUGGGAGAGGCGCGUGGAAUUGCAGGUGUAGCGGUGAAAUGCGUAGAUAUCUGCAGGAACACCCGUGGCGAAAGCGGCGCGCUGGACCACUACUGACGCUGAGGAACGAAAGCUAGGGGAGCAAACAGG
rnacentral:rRNA from 1 species